AGUUCCCUUUAUAUGUAAUACCUUUUAGUUCCUUUGUAAAUAAAUACCACUUAUUUAAAGAUCAGUCUGCCUCAAGUCAUUAGCCUGGCACCUCAAAAUAGAGCAGAUCCAACAUAUUGGCACCCCAGAUGGGACGAUUUCAACUAAACCCAUCAUCGUAAGGAAAAGGAAUCUGCUUGGCUGAGAAGAUUUGAGAAGCCUGAGACUGACGCGUUAAAGGUCUGACCAGAAAAGAAAGCCUGGAGCCUAACACAGAGUACUAGUGGAAGAACGAUUGUCCAUUUACCCUGUAAAAUGAAGAAGAUACUGUGAUUUUAAAAUUGAUUUUUGUUUUAACAGGUUGUAGAUUUGUUUUAAGGAGCACAGCACCUGAUGACUUUGUGUCUUACACUAAAUAACCCUGAUUAACUGGAUAACUGUUUUUAAAACCACGUGGUACAAUCAAUGAGCUCAAUAGUAAAAUAAUUGUUUGCAAACAAUUUAAAAAACAAUAUUUAAACUCAAUAACAUCUCUUCACAAUA